rnacentral:lncRNA from 1 species
AAUUAACUCGAAAAAGUUAUUGUAGUUUGAAAUCAUAAAAUUAAUUUUUUUCUCUUUCCUUUCUUCUUUCUCCUCUCUCCUAUGUCCAUUCUUCUUCUUCUUUUUUCUUUUUUUGCGGUUGUUUUAUUAUUCUUUUUUAAAAAUAAUUUUAUUUUAUAUUUUUAUUAUAUUAGCUCAUUUCAAAGUUCUUCAAUUUAAAAAUAUUAUUUUUGAAGUAGAGGUUAAAAUAUUUUUUAAUAUAAAUUUAUAGAUGAAUAAUUAAUUAUAUCAUCUUAAAUAUUAAAUUUGUAGUUAUGUUUGUGUUAUUUUUUUAUAUUUACUUAUAUUAACAUAUCUACUAUUAUUAUUUUUAAUUAAAUUUUACGUUAGAUUUACGUAUAUAUUAAGCAUCAAAA